rnacentral:rRNA from 1 species
UACGGGGGGGAGCAAGCGUUGUUCGGAUUUACUGGGCGUAAAGGGCGCGUAGGCGGCCACCGCAAGUCGACUGUGAAAUCUCCGGGCUUAACCCGGAAAGGUCAGCCGAUACUGCGGGGCUAGAGUGCAGAAGGGGCAACUGGAAUUCUCGGUGUAGCGGUGAAAUGCGUAGAUAUCGAGAGGAACACCUGCGGCGAAGGCGGGUUGCUGGGCUGACACGUGACGCUGAGGCGCGAAAGCUAGGGGAGCGAACGGG